rnacentral:rRNA from 1 species
GCUAAGAAUCUUCCGCAAUGGGGGAAACCCUGACGGAGCGACGCCGCGUGGACGAUGAAGGCCGUAAGGUUGUAAAGUCCUUUUGCAGGUGAAGAAUAAGCCGGGGAGUGGAAAGCCCUGGUGAUGACGUUAGCCUGCGAAUAAGCCCCGGCCAAUUACGUGCCAGCAGCCGCGGUAAUACGUAUGGGGCAAGCGUUGUUCGGAGUUAUUGGGCGUAAAGGGCGUGUAGGCGGCUCGAGAAGUCUGGUGUGAAAUCGCAGGGCCCAACCCUGCGGGUGCGCUGGAAACUGACGGGCUUGAGUCCCGGGGGGGAAGCUGGAAUUCCUGGUGUAGGAGUGAAAUCUGUAGAGAUCAGGAAGAACACCGGUGGCGAAGGCGAGCUUCUAUUCGAGGACUGACGCUGAGGCGCGAAAGCGUGGGGAGCAAACAGGAUUAGAAACCCCAGUAGUCC